rnacentral:rRNA from 1 species
GUGGGGAAUAUUGGACAAUGGGCGAAAGCCUGAUCCAGCCAUGCCGCGUGAACGAUGAAGGCCUUCGGGUUGUAAAGUUCUUUAGCCGAUGAUUAUAAUGACUGUAGUCGGAAAAUAAGCCCCGGCUAACUUCGUGCCAGCAGCCGCGGUAAUACGAAGGGGGCGAGCGUUAUUCGGAAUCACUGGGCGUAAAGCGUGCGUAGGCGGUUUUGUAAGUUAGGAGUGAAAGCCCAGGGCUCAACCUUGGAAUUGCUCUUAAAACUGCAAGGCUCGAAUCUCGGAGAGGAUAGCGGAAUUUCCAGUGUAGCAGUGAAAUGCGUAGAUAUUGGAAGGAACACCAGUGGCGUAAGCGGCUAUCUGGACGAGUAUUGACGCUGAGGCACGAAAGCGUGGGGAUCAAACAGGAUUAGAAACCCGGGUAGUCC